rnacentral:rRNA from 1 species
GUAGUCUCGCACAGAUGCAUAUCAAUAAGCGGAGGAAAAGAAACUAACAAGGAUUCCCCUAGUAACGGCGAGUGAAGCGGGAAGAGCUCAAAUUUGAAAUCUUAAAGGGUUUCCCUUUACGAAUUGUAGUUUAAAGAAGUGUUUUCUGUUGAGGUUUUGGUAAAAGUUCUUUGGAAUAGGACAUCAUAGAGGGUGAGAAUCCCGUAUUUGACCUUUACUUUCAACUUUGUGAUACACUUUCAAAGAGUCGGAUUGUUUGGGAAUGCAGUCCGAAAUGGGUGGUAAAUUUCAUCUAAAGCUAAAUAUUGGCGAGAGACCGAUAGCGAACAAGUACCGUGAGGGAAAGAUGAAAAGAACUUUGAAAAGAGAGUUAAACAGUACGUGAAAUUGUCAAAAGGGAAGCGUUUGACACCAGUGUUGUUUUUCUGAAAAUCAAUUAAAGAACUGUUUAUGCUAAGCUGUUUAGACUUUAUCAGCUAUCUGUUUAGUUUUGAGCUUUUCUUUAAUGCACUUUUCAGUUAACAAGUCAACAUCAAUUUCUUUUGCUGUAAAAAAGCUUGAGGAAGGUGGCUUGAGAUUCGUCUUAAGUGUUUAUAGCCUCUUGCCUAUGCAGUCGGAGAGAUUGAGGUCCGCAGCGUAGAUCCUUCGGGGCUAAAUGCAUUUGUGCUAAGUUAUAGCAUUUUAUAGACAACUUGUUGACUAUGAUUUGUCUUGUAGCUUACUCGCUUAUGUUAUUUUACCUACGCUUAGGAUGUUGAGUCGUAGAGCACGCA